rnacentral:rRNA from 1 species
GUUACAAUGGGGGGUACAGAGGGCCGCUACCACGCGAGUGGAUGCCAAUCCCUAAAACCCCUCUCAGUUCGGACUGGAGUCUGCAACCCGACUCCACGAAGCUGGAUUCGCUAGUAAUCGCGCAUCAGCCACGGCGCGGUGAAUACGUUCCCGGGCCUUGUACACACCGCCCGUCAAGCCAUGGGAGCCGGGGGUACCUGAAGUGCGUAACCGCGAGGAUCGCCCUAGGGUAAAACUGGUGACUGGGGCUAAGUCGUAACAAGGUACC